AUUAUCAAAUAUUACAUACUAAUGAUACCUCAAGAGAAUACACUGCACUUCUAAACUUUUGUGCUUUCAAAACAUAUAGAUAUCUUCAUAAAAUGGAAAAAACUCACACUUCAGUUGGAUGCAGUUUUUCAAUCUUCUACAUCCAAGACGAUGGCACUCUUUUGUAUGAUAUAUCCCCAGUUGUGGCAUUGAUAAGACAGUCUAUAAAAUACAUCCAAUUCCCAGUGCACAAGCCACAGUUGUACCUGUUUCCAUUGCAAGGAAAGCAUAUUGCAAGUGCUAGCUACUGGGAGAUCCAGGAGGAUCACAAAUUCAAGGUCAGCCUGGACCACUUAGCAAGACCUGGUCUCAAAUGAAAAAAAAAAAAAGAAAAAAUAUGUAGAGAGACUACUUAUAUCUUAUUUUCUAUAAGUAGUUGGGGAAUGAAUGUACUGUUCUAUAACAAUGACAUUAUUAAGUAACAUUUUUGUCUAAGUAGAAAAUAUACACAAUGCUUUGUAAGCCAUAAAAACUUCUACACAAAUUUAUCAAGUUAAUUAAGACUUAAAAUGAAAGAGUGAAAUAUUUAACUCUCAGGCAAACAGAUGAUUAUAUAAAACAAAAUGGUUCAAGGGAUUGCAUGUGUCCUGAAAUUCAAACAAUUGCAUAACAGAUAUUUACUUGCUACAGAUUAAACUAAAUGUAAAUAUGAAAGGAGAUAAGUUUUAAAGUGUAAAUAUUAAGGGAGGUGAAGGUCGGUCAUAUCAGUGAUUUUGUCAUAGUAUCUUUCAUUCAUCUUUUUUGUGGGGUCUAUUAAUAAAAUUAUCUUAUGAUUAAAACAUUUCUGGUGAUUUUUCCAAUAACUUUGUUAGCUUUUAAAAUCUUUUAAACAAAGACUAGAUUUAUAAAAUACAUUUAAAACUCAGUAUAUGUUUUCUCAAUCUCAUGUUUCUUGAUGUAUAGUUUGCAGAUCACCAGCCUCAGAUUCAUCUGAAAGUGAUACUAAAAUGCACGUGUACAU
rnacentral:lncRNA from 1 species